rnacentral:rRNA from 1 species
CUUAGGUGUUGUUGGGUAGGGGAGCGUUCUGUAAGCCGUUGAAGGUGGACUGUGAGGUCUGCUGGAGGUAUCAGAAGUGCGAAUGCUGACAUAAGUAACGAUAAAGCGGGUGAAAAGCCCGCUCGCCGGAAGACCAAGGGUUCCUGUCCAACGUUAAUCGGGGCAGGGUGAGUCGACCCCUAAGGCGAGGCCGAAAGGCGUAGUCGAUGGGAAACAGGUUAAUAUUCCUGUACUUGGUGUUACUGCGAAGGGGGGACGGAGAAGGCUAUGUUGGCCGGGCGACGGUUGUCCCGGUUUAAGCAUGUAGGCGGAGGUUCCAGGUAAAUCCGGUACCUUUUAACGCUGAGGUGUGAUGACGAGGCACUACGGUGCUGAAGCAACAAAUGCCCUGCUUCCAGGAAAAGCCUCUAAGCAUCAGGUAACACGAAAUCGUACCCCAAACCGACACAGGUGGUCAGGUAGAGAAUACCAAGGCGCUUGAGAGAACUCGGGUGAAGGAACUAGGCAAAAUGGUGCCGUAACUUCGGGAGAAGGCACGCUGGCAUGUAGGUGAAGCGGUUUACCCGUGGAGCUGAAGCCAGUCGAAGAUACCAGCUGGCUGCAACUGUUUAUUAAAAACACAGCACUGUGCAAACACGAAAGUGGACGUAUACGGUGUGACGCCUGCCCGGUGCCGGAAGGUUAAUUGAUGGGGUUAGCGGCAACGCGAAGCUCUUGAUCGAAGCCCCGGUAAACGGCGG